GUAGGUGAACCUGCGGAAGGAUCAUUAACACAAAAACCGUAUGUUGAAAUGAAAAAUCUUAAAAACGUUUUUUACUUCAAUGUACAACAAUUACCAACCCGCGCACAUGUCUUAGUUUCCCUCAUUCUGUCUGAUGAACGUGCAUUCGCAAUAUACUUGGUCUUAUAUUUAUAUUUAUAUUUAUAUCGGGUCAUUUACGUACCGUCUGUAUCUAGUACGAUCAGUUUAAAAUAGGUGAGGUUCAUAUGCU
rnacentral:misc_RNA from 1 species